UAGAAAGUUAGUCUAAUUAAGACG
rnacentral:tRNA from 1 species